UUGUUGGAAAAAAUUAAAGAGUUAUAUACUACAAGAAUAAAACUUGUGAUGAAUUUGACUUAAAUUUGACCUUAAAAAUGUAUAAGAGUUAGUCGAUAUCAAUGAUCCUUAGAAGUAUUGUGUCAAAAAGACAGAUGUGCCCUUACCACAUACAAACCCUACACAGACAAAUGAAUCUAGAAUUCACAUGCACUCCAACUGUUUGACUGGUUUUGGUUUACUCAUUCUGUACAUCUGGCAUCAAUUUCCCAUUGACCCCAUCAUGGGCCUAUGACCAUAACCCAUUACAGCUCAUCUCACAUGGCUCUUAUGGGCCCCACCAUUACCACAUACAUAUCUAUGUUUAAAUUUAAUGUACAUGUAUUCUUUUCCCAUGUCUUUCUAUAAUUCUAUAUCAUCAACAAACAAAUAAUUACCAUUUCUUACUACUACAUUUUCUAUGUGUAUAAUAUUACAUGAUACAUGAGACAUGAUACAUGCAUAUGCAUGAUGAUGUUGAUUAUGAUGAUGAUGAUGAUGAUGAUGAU
rnacentral:lncRNA from 1 species